AAGGGAUGAAGGUGGAUGCCACAACCAGGCAUAUGUGGGCACCCACAUCAUCCACAAGAUCCGACCAAGCCACCCCAGUGUCCUUAACGAGGCAUUUUUGGAGGACCCAGAGCCUUCUACUUCCCAGCACAAGGAAACGGAGUCCACCACCUUGGAUCGAACUGAGCCAAGGAUUGGCGACUUCGUUUCAAUUACAUACACUGUUGGAAGGAAGCAACUCAUGUACAAUGCUGUUGUCAUUCCACCACAAGAGGUUCUAGAGGAUGGAGAGCUCCUUGUUUCCUUCAUGAGGAAACAAGGGGCUUCUUUCAUUUUCCCUCAUGUACCAGAGAUAUGUGUAGUACACCUCGAGGAGGUUGUGGUCCUCCACCCUCCGACUAUAGACAAUCGGGGGAGACAUUUUUUUGAUUAAUUUUUUUUUUUGAAUGUUUUUUUGUUGUUGUAUUUGGUGGGGAGGGUGUUAUUGAAUAUUGGAAUACAAAAUCUUUUCAACUGUGGCUGUGUUUUCAUGGAUUGUGAUGUUCUUUCUGAAACUUUGGAUUAUUUUGGACGUUGCGGAAAUUCUGAGGUGAGGUUGCUUUUUUGUUAAUAUUUUUUUUCCUGAACCUUUGCUGACUCUUUAGUUCACAUAUUUGAAUUCCCCUUUGAAAGAGCUUUAAUUUGAUAUAUGAUACAUCUAUCUGGACAAAGAUUGAAAAA